GCCUGUUUACCAAAAACAUAGCCAUAAGAAAAUAUUUUUGGUUUAACCUGCCCAAUGUGAAAAUGAAUGGCCGCGGUACCCUGACCGUGCUAAGGUAGCGUAAUCAUUUGACUUUUAAAUGGAGUCAGGUAUGAAUGGGAAAACCUAGCUUAACUGUCUCUAGAUUAAUAAGUUGAAUUUACUGUUUAAGUGAAAAAGCUUAAUGAGAGUAAAGGGACGAGAAGACCCUUAGAAUUUUUUUCAAAGGGAAAAUAAUUCUUAGAAUUUUGUUGGGGCGACAAAGAAAUAAUUAAAACUUUCUUUAUUCACAAACCGAAUAUAUUAAAAAAGAAUAAAUUACCUGAGGGAUAACAGCGUAAUUCUAAAGUUGAGUUUGCGACCUCGAUGUUGGACUAGGAAACUAGCAGGCUAGCCGUUUGCUGUGUUGGUUCUGUUCGAACUUUAAUUCCU
rnacentral:rRNA from 1 species